GGUCUUAAAGGUUCAUGGAGGAGAAUCAAUCAAGUCCGCAAGCAUCUGAAGAGGUAAGGCCUUGUCAUCCUGUCACCAUAAGUCCCCCUGCUCAGUUUGUAGAUCAACUGAUUCCUUCUCUUCCCUUUGCAGGUCUCAGAGCAGUUUUUUCCAACAUCCGUAAGUGAGGACCAGCUCCAGGAAGCUCGAACAAAAUCCUUUCGGAAGAUAUUUGGCUCAAGCCAGAUCUUUUUAGCCAAGGACGAUAAACAAUGGCAGUCCAAGCCAUGCUCAUUCCAAGGCAUCGUGCAAGGAAAGGUCGCCGAGCAGUAAGGAAAUGGGCC